GUGAGCAGGGUCCCAUACAAAGUACCUUUGAAGAACCUAACAUUAUCAUGGUUUUUGGUUUUUGUUCUGUUAUUUCCUGUUUUAUUUUGUAAUAUUCUCCCUCUCUCUUGUGUAGUUUUGCGUCCUGUCUUUGAUUGCUGUGAUUGUUCUCACCUCUGUCAUUUGGUUUCACCUGUGUCUAGUUAUCUCCCCUACCUGGGUGUAUUUAGGUCUGUGUCUUUCAAGUGUUUAGUGUCAGAUCCUACUUGUACCAUGUACCCUGUGUUAGUUCCCCGGUCCUGCCUUGACCGGUUUUCCCAGUCUCUCUGUGAUUCUCCCUGUUUUACUGUGUUAACUUGCUCCCUGGACUCUCUUUUGGACUAUUCUUUGUUUGGACUUUUGUUAUUCUUGUUGGACUUUUUCCUGAACUUCUCAGCUGCCCUUAGUAGUUUUGUGUUCCUCCAUAGAUUUGUCAUCACAACAAAUGUCCCAUCAUAAGUGGAAAAGUGAGGCCCUGUUCUAAUGUGCAAGAUGUGAUCCUCUGCAUUCAAGCUCUUCAAGUCACAGGAGGGGAGAAUGAUUAAUAAUGACUUCAAGGAUGAGGGCACAAGAGACUGGAAACCUGCAGUGGCUCCAGUAGAAGUGAAGCAACAAUUAGCCUCAUUGCCUCAGCUGCUAAGUGCAACUGACUGAAAGGUGUUAACACAAGAAGGCAGAGAGAGAUGUGCAGUGGGAAUAUGAGCUCUGACUUGACAGCCAAGAGAACCAGUGAAGCAAGCAAAGAGUGGCUCACUUAGCAGCAGCUUACUAAAAAAUAGCUACCACCACAUGAAGGAGUCAAGGUCAAACUUUUUGGAUGUAGAUGAUUUUGUGAAAGUUUGUGUUCUUUUUUUGUUGAGUCUUCUCUUAAAGACGGACAGCACAGGAUAAACCCUGGUCAUAAGACUAAAGAGUCUGGAAAUCUUCUAACAUCAGCUGAAAAAGUGUUGUAGGUUGAGUGUCUGGGGUUGAAAGUAUUCAGUACAUGUCCUUUUGCAUUUAGCAUGGAUUUAUUUAUAAGACCUUUUGAAAAUGACUUCUGAGACUUUUACAGUGACAUCUGAUUGAUGCUUGAUUUGAAAAUUGGUUAAGAAGAGAGGGGAGGGAAAAAAGCAAAGAAAGAAUAAGAGGGGAGGAUAAAUUUAGUUAUAAAUGUUACAUUGUGGCAUUUAUGAAUGUAUAAAUUAAAUGUUUCACAAAAUUGAAUAGAUUUAAUUUAUAUUUUUGCAGUCACAAUGUAAAACCCCAAAUUAUUUGCAUGUACUGUAUAUUAUGCAGAGACCAACUUUGGGGCAGGAAGCCGAAUAUUUUUGGGUUGGGUUGACUCAAAUAACACAGACACUGGUAACAUACCAUCUGUGUGUGGAAUGCUCCUCACGUCUGCCCUCAAUUCGGGUCUGUAUAAAGGAUAGACACUAAUAAUUAUUCUAAAACAAAUUCACAACAAUGCUAAAGGUGUGUUAGUUAUUAAAAUAACCUUGAAGACCCUGUCUAGCCUAAAUAAUAGAGCCCCUACAGGUAGUAAUGUAUUUAAAUAAACCUUUCAAAAACCUGAGAAAUUAUAUAAAUCUUCAAAAUCAUCACAUGCUGUAUGUUAUGCCUCUAUUUACAUAUUUCCCUUCAGAGAGAUUGUAUAAGAUCAUAUCAAGACCAUUGCACAUUAAUAUAUCAGAUUUUAGUAUAAUAAAGGUAGCAUCUUAGUCUACUGUUCUUAAGGGCAAAGUUAUGCUCUUUAUUUAAACAGCCUUUAGAACUUCAGUGCAGCCUUGCCACAGAAGACCAAUUGAUCUAUCUUCUAAUUAUGACCUUAAGAUGUUCUGUGUGCAGCAUCAUACCAGUAUCCAAUCAAAUCCAAUUAACACUGGUGGCCCCCUCCAGAAAACUGCAUUGUAGAGGGAUUAUACAGCUAUCUGUGCUGGUCUGAUUAAUGGCCGCAGUAAUUAAUGCUGAAGGGGUCUGUCCGAGUCCCUCAGUGUAGAGGAGCAUAUAGCAGUGAGCCAGCUGCAGUGAACAGAGCUCACGCUAACACCUGGAUCCUCUCAUGUGCGCAUAUGUUGCACACAAUAUGAGGGUUUUUUUUGUAAAGUUUUGUGCCUCAUACAUAUGGGGAUAGGCAGGAAAAUUAAAGUAUUAUAUGCAAAAGUCUGUUCCAUUUGCCCUGACUUUGUAGGUAUAACAAACAAAAAAACUAAAAGUGGGAUCCACAAAUCAAUGGCUGUAACGAAUAACGGGGUCACUGAUUCUCACUGAUUUUCUUAUUCUUUUUACUAAUAAGGCCUCAAAUGUUCCCCAGCUUUCAUCUAAACGAGGCAUUUCAGACUUCAAACUGCAUUCCCACUUGUUUUUUUUAAAAGCUAUAUUUCAGAUGAUUGAUCCAGAUAUUUUAGCCAUUAUUAACUGCUCUCUGUCUACUGGCAUUUUCCCCUCCUAUUUUAAACAUACUACUCUUUACCCCCUUUUUAAAGAAGCUCUCUCUAGAUCCCUCUGUUUUUAAGUAAUUUUAGACCCAUCUCCAAGCUGCCAUUUUUAUUGAAGAUUUUAGGAAAAAACUGUCUCCACUCAACUGACUUCUUUUAUGAAUAACAAUCAAAUCUUUGAAAAUUUUCAAUCUGGUUUCCGCUCCCUACACAGCUCUGAGACUGCUCUGGUCAGGGUCACCAAUGACCACCUGCUUGCGGCUGACACUGGCCUGUCCUCCAUUUUAAUUCUCCUUGACCUCAGCUCAGCCUUUGACACAGUGGACCAUGAUGUCUUAAUCAACCAUCUGAAGAACUAUCUACACUACUCUGUAAUGCUUAGAGAUGCCUCCUCUUCUUGUGUUCCUCUAUUUUGUGGGGUUCCCCAAGGAUCUGUUUUGGGUCUCUUCUUGUUUACCAUACACAUGCUACCCCUGGGGCAAAUCUUGCACAGACAUGACAUUGAUUUCCACGCUAAGCGGGUGACACCCAACUGUACGUCCCAAUAAAGCCUGGUACCACACAUGCAUCCUGCCUCGCUGAAAUUAAAAAUUGGAUGUCCAAAAAUGUCCUGCAAUUGAAUGACUCAAAUCAGAUGUAAUUAUAACUACCCUCAUCUCCUAAUCUCUCAUCUAGUCUGGGUGCCUUAUCUAAUAAUGUUCAAAAAGAGGUCUACAACCUAGGUGUUAGAUUUGAUGCUCAGAUGACUAAAGUGGUGCAGUCCUGCUUUUCUCAGCUGAGACAGCUAACCAAGAUCAGGUCAUUUCUUUCCUCUGCAGACUUAGAAAAAGUCAUCCAUGCUUUUAUCUCCUCCAGACUUGGCAAUUGCAAUGCACUUUAUUCUGGUAACAGCAGGCGAAACAUCCAAAGAUUGCAGCCGAUACAAAACGCUGCUGCCAGGCUUUUAACACGUACUAAGACAAGCAACCACAUUACACCGAUCCUUGCUGCCCUUCACUGGUUACCUGUAAGUUUUAGAAUUGAUUUUACUGCUUGUUUUUAUAGCCUUGAAUGAUCUGACUCCUUUGAUCUGCUAACUCUCUGAGCCUGAUCGCUGCUUGAGAUCCUCUGGCCCUACUAAUGGUUCCAAAAUCUCAACUUGUCACUAAAGGUGCCCUGGCCCCUCAGCUGUGGAACUCCCUGCCUGGAGAUCUCAAGUAGGCAAACUCAGUGUCCUCCAUUAAAUCUCUUCUUAAGACUUACUUUAAUUGUAUGACAUUUUCUUAACUGAUGACAUUUGUUGUAAUUAUUUAAAUGUAAAUGGACUGUA